UACGGGGGGGGCAAGCGUUGUUCGGAAUUACUGGGCGUAAAGCGCACGUAGGCGGCUUUGCAAGUUAGAGGUGAAAGCCCGGGGCUCAACUCCGGAACUGCCUUUAAGACUGCAUCGCUUGAAUCCGGGAGAGGUGAGUGGAAUUCCGAGUGUAGAGGUGAAAUUCGUAGAUAUUCGGAAGAACACCAGUGGCGAAGGCGGCUCACUGGACCGGUAUUGACGCUGAGGUGCGAAAGCGUGGGGAGCAAACAGG
rnacentral:rRNA from 1 species